GGAGCCAGAGGCUGGAGGAGGGCCGGCGUGGUGCCGCGGGGACGCUCCCAGGGCCCAGGGCUCACGCGGCAGGACUCUGUGACGCGGAGCAAAGUCCCGUCUCCAGCCCUGGGGUGUAGGAGCUCCUCCCACCCCCACCCCAGGCACCUUCUCUCCUGCCAGGCUCUGCGCUUCACAUGUAGCUGCGUCCACGCCUGACAGCUUCCAGAAGGGUCUGCCUUUUCCGGACCUUUCGCACAAAUGGACUCCUACCCUCUGGGACUUUUUUGUGACCAGUAUCGGUGUUCUUUGGGGCAGAGAAGUCAUCUCUCUCCCUGGUUCAGCCUGCUCUCAAGGGCAGGUCCUCACUGGCUGAGUGCCUGUUCUGCCUGACCGUCGUCCAGAGCUGAGGCGCUGGUGAGCGGAGGGGACCUCGGGCAUAGUGAGGACCGCAGGCGCUGAGAUGUGUGCACUGGUGGCUUCUGAGGAUGCACGACCCGGUCCAGGUCAGCCUUCUUCGUGUGGUUUCGGAAGCAAACGGAAGAUCCUCUGCCUCUAAAACUCCAGCUUCCACGGGGCGCCCGGGUGGCUCAGGCACGGACUCUUGAUUUCAGCUCAGGUCGUGAUCUCACGGUUCAUGGGAUCAAGCCCCACGUCAUGCUGUAUGCUGACAGCGCUGAGCCUGCUUGGGACUUCCCCCCCCCCCCC